GACGUAGGGCGCAAGCGUUGUCCGGAUUUAUUGGGCGUAAAGAGCUCGUAGGCGGCUUGUUGCGUCGACCGUGAAAACCUGUGGCUCAACUACAGGCUUGCGGUUGAUACGGGCGGGCUGGAGUUCGGUAGGGGAGAGUGGAAUUCCUGGUGUAGCGGUGAAAUGCGUAGAUAUCUGGAGGAACACCGGUGGCGAAGGCGGCAUCCUGGACCGGCAUUGACGCUGAGGCGCGAAAGCUAGGGGAGCAAACGGG
rnacentral:rRNA from 1 species